rnacentral:lncRNA from 1 species
UUUCUUUUCUUUUUCUUUUACAGAUAUUACGAAACGCUGGGGAUGGUGGCGUCCUCCCUCCAGGCCUUCAGUUAACACGCUCUGCGACUCAUGGGAAACCUACUUAGGAACGGUGAGCUCGUCAACGAACAGCACGGCGUUCGAGACUUUCUUCACCUCCUUCUGCAACACGAACACCAGGAUCGGAGUUGCAGUACCCGAAGCGAUUGACGACGUUGCUCGCGAGUCGGCUGAAGAAUCUCGCAUUUUCAAGGCUCUGGGGAGUGCCGGGGAUUAAGGUGACGUCUGUGCCCCUUGCAAUCAGCUGCGUCUAGUAAGGGUGAUGUGACAUACAAAAAUAAAAUGACUAAAACCAAAACAAAUGAUAGAUCUUCAUUGAAAAGACGGUAUCUAAAAACAUCCAAACUUAUCAUUUCGAGUUAAGGAGAAUAUGAAAUCGAUAGGAAGUUGAUUACCAUUUUAUCAUCUAUAUAACAAGACUGAUAACAUCAAAUAUAGAUACUUUAACCCUUGAUCACCCUUGCCUGGAAAUUCAGUACUGAAUAUAAAACAAUAAUC